UAGAAUUUUUAAUUUGGAAUAUACUUUAUACAAUUUGAAAGAUCAGCAGCAAAAAAUGAAUUCAUUUCGGAAUAUUGCGGCGAAAUUAUCAGUCAAGACGAAGCUAACAGGAGGGGAAAAGUAUAUGAUAAAUAUAUGUGUAGUUUCCUUUUUAAUCUUAACAAUGAUUUUGUUGUAGACGCGACACGGAAAGGGAAUAAAAUAAAGUUUGCUAAUCACUCGAUAAAUCCAAAUUGUUAUGCGAAAGUAAUGAUGGUAAACGGUGAUCAUAGAAUAAGUAUUUUUGCUAAGAGAGCGAUUCAACCUAGUGAAGAAUUAUUUUUUGACUAUAGGUAUGUCGCUAUAAUGUUUUGUUUAAUUUAUUAAUUGCAAACAAUUAAAAUCAUGCGAUAAUUUUCAGAUAUAGACCAACGGAACAAUUAAAAUUCGUCGGUAUCGAGCGAGAAAUGGUGUUUCUCUAAUAUAUGUAUAUAUAUUAUAUGGACUUUUACAUGUAUAAAUGGUGCAUCAAGCGAAUACAUACAGCUGAAAUAUUAGAAAGGAAAUAAGCA